rfam:Camelus ferus unplaced genomic scaffold scaffold663, whole genome shotgun sequence.
GAGGGUAUAACUCGGUGGUAGAGCGCAUGCUUAGCAUGCACAGGGUACUGGGUUCGAUCCCCAGUGCCUCCA